GCCCUUCGGGGUACUCGAGCGGCGAACGGGUGAGUAACACGUGAGCAACCUGCCCCAGGCUUUGGGAUAACCCCGGGAAACCGGGGCUAAUACCGAAUAUGACCUCUGACCGCAUGGUUGGUGGUGGAAAGUUUUUCGGCUUGGGAUGGGCUCGCGGCCUAUCAGCUUGUUGGUGGGGUGAUGGCCUACCAAGGCGACGACGGGUAGCCGGCCUGAGAGGGCGACCGGCCACACUGGGACUGAGACACGGCCCAGACUCCUACGGGAGGCAGCAGUGGGGAAUAUUGCACAAUGGGCGGAAGCCUGAUGCAGCGACGCCGCGUGAGGGAUGACGGCCUUCGGGUUGUAAACCUCUUUCAGCAGGGACGAAGCGUAAGUGACGGUACCUGCAGAAGAAGCGCCGGCCAACUACGUGCCAGCAGCCGCGGUAAGACGUAGGGCGCGAGCGUUGUCCGGAUUUAUUGGGCGUAAAGAGCUCGUAGGCGGCUUGUCGCGUCGACCGUGAAAACUUGGGGCUCAACCCCAAGCCUGCGGUCGAUACGGGCAGGCUAGAGUUCGGUAGGGGAGACUGGAAUUCCUGGUGUAGCGGUGAAAUGCGCAGAUAUCAGGAGGAACACCGGUGGCGAAGGCGGGUCUCUGGGCCGAUACUGACGCUGAGGAGCGAAAGCGUGGGGAGCGAACAGGAUUAGAUACCCUGGUAGUCCACGCUGUAAACGUUGGGCGCUAGGUGUGGGGGGCCUCUCCGGUUCCCUGUGCCGCAGCUAACGCAUUAAGCGCCCCGCCUGGGGAGUACGGCCGCAAGGCUAAAACUCAAAGGAAUUGACGGGGGCCCG
rnacentral:rRNA from 1 species